rnacentral:lncRNA from 1 species
UGAAAAACGAAAAACAUACAUUAUUAAGAGCGUUAAACGCUUGUACAAUACAAGCUCUCAUGAAAUUACAAACUUAAUUACACUAUGACUACAUAAAGUAAAUCAACAGUGUAUAUUUUUCCAAAAGACAAAGUCAUGAGGAUGAUCUUCAUUUUAAAAAAGGACAAUACAUCAUCGCUAAUACUGAGCGGAAUUAAUAUAAUUAAGGUACGGAAGCUGGAGCAAACCUAGGGACAGGCCAGCCAUUGGCUUGGACCACUCCUCUACCUUUCAACUGUUGACAUCCAGCUCUGCAAGCAAUUCUGCAAACAUUAAGUUUGACAUUCCUUAUGGCCAUACACAUGGGCAUGCAAUCGAUCUGACAUUUGAUAAACGACCAUCUGGGUUUAGCGGCAUUCCCUUUCACUCUCCCCACCAUAUUUGAAAACAAACUUAGCACUAAAAUCAACGUAAAUGUCAAGCUUCCACCAUUUCCUAAAUGGCUCUUUAUUCUCUUAACGUUACUUUCCAUUACAGCAAUAGUCUCUCACAUGUCAUGUUGUUGGAAGCCUAUAUCAAUUUGAGCAAUGUUGAGAGAAAUGUGGAGAUGGCUUUCAAAUGGUAGGUCAUUCUUGAAUUUAGA